rnacentral:rRNA from 1 species
GACGAACGCUGGCGGCGUGCCUAAUACAUGCAAGUCGAGCGCAGGAAACUGACGGAACUCUUCGGAGGGAAGGCAGUGGAAUGAGCGGCGGACGGGUGAGUAACACGUAAGGAACCUGCCUCAAGGAUUGGGAUAACUCCGAGAAAUCGGAGCUAAUCACGGAUAGUUCAACGGACCGCAUGGUCCGCUGAUGAAAGGCGCUUCGGCGUCACCUUGAGAUGGCCUUGCGGUGCAUUAGCUAGUUGGUGGGGGAACGGCCCACCAAGGCGACGAUGCAUAGCCGACCUGAGAGGGGGAUCGGCCACACUGGGACUGAGACACGGCCCAGACUCCUACGGGAGGCAGCAGUAGGGAAUCUUCCACAAUGGACGAAAGUCUGAUGGAGCAACGCCGCGUGAGUGAUGAAGGUUUUCGGAUCGUAAAACUCAGUUGUAAGGGAAGAACACGUACGAGAGGGAAUGCUCGUACCUUGACGGUACCUUACGAGAAAGCCACGGCUAACUACGUGCCAGCCGCCGCAGUAA